rnacentral:lncRNA from 1 species
CAUUGCAGCCGGUAGUGUGCUGGUAACUUGCUAAUCGCUGGACCAUGCGUGCGUGCGUGCGUGCAUGGAUGCAUGAUUCCCUUCGUGUGGGUGGCACGUACUACGUUGGUUCAUUCGCUUACAUAUCCGUCAUGCAUUGGGAGCAGCUUCAUGUGCUGAUGCGCGUUGCGCCCCGACAAAUCCACGCUUUCCUUUUUGUAUCCGAUGGUCCAGCGUACUCUCCGGCAGGACCAAGUAAGUAACCCAAGAUUAGCAGUACGCUUGGAAGAGUGUAAACCAGGUUUGGCUGGCCGACCCUGAGCCCAGCUAUCAUAUCAGUAAACCUUCACUCACUCCAAUGUGCAAAUGUAGGAGUAGUAAGAAAGGAUGUAACUGAAAUCGCCUAAUUACUCCUUGUCAGCUUCCCACUGCAACAACCCGUUCACCGAACGGGCCAACACAUGCAGCGUUCCUGGACCAUGCAUGCAGUCAAGUUGGGCAAGGUCGGCAUGCACUUGCGCCGUUACACGCCGAUCAUGAGUGAGUAUCUAGUAGCAGACACACCCCAUGCCGCGCGGCCGAGCACCAUGACUCGGAACAUGACCGGAUUCCCCUCCCUUGCCUCCCUCCGGCGGUCCGGCCCUGGCACACACGGCCAUGCAUGCCAUGCAUGGUGAUGGUGGACACAUCUGCUCGACCGCCUUGCCGCCCAUGAG